AGUGAACGCUGGCGGCAGGCCUAACACAUGCAAGUCGAGCGGCAGCGGGUCCUUCGUUAUGCCUGCGAGCGGCGGACGGGUGAGGAAUGCAUCGGAAUCUGCCCUGUCGUGGUGGAUAACCUAUGGAAACUUAGGCUUAUACCGCAUACGACCCACGGGUGAAAGCGGGGGUUCGCAAGUCCUCGCGCGUUCUGCUGUGCCGAUGUCCGAUUUGCUAGUUGGCGUGGUAAUGGCCCACCAAGGCGACGAUCGGUAGCUGGUGUGAGAGGAUGAUCAGCCACACUGGAACUGAGACACGGCCCAGACUCCUACGGGAGGCAGCAGUGGGGAAUAUUGGAAAAUGGGCGCAAGCAUGAUCCAGCAAUGCCGCGUGGGUGAAGAAGGCCUUCGGGUUGUAAAGCCCUUUUGUCCGGGAAGAAAAGGAGUGGGCUAAUACCCCGGGGGGAUGACGGUACCGGAAGAAUAAGCACCGGCUAACUUCGUG
rnacentral:rRNA from 1 species